CUGCUUUAUAGUUUAUUGUAAAAUGUAGAUUUUGUAAAUCUAAGAAAACAAAGCAUCA
rnacentral:tRNA from 1 species